UGAACCCUUGCGGGUCUUUUACGUGAUCUAAUACUAUGAUGAUUCUUACGUUUGAGUCCCGCGAGCACGCACUGACAUGUACCUGUAAGUAGUGCGUGCUCGGAGUCAUGUUUGAACCCCGUUUGAGCGUGCGUGCUCCGAGUCACGUGAUCUUCGUUUUGCGAACAAUAGACAAGCGUCCGGGGGUACUCUGACCCAGUUCUCCCGCCUGAUACACACAAAAUGCCGCUAGUCUAAGAAGAGUUUUUCCCGAGGAUAAUGUUGGUGCACGUAGCCGGGCCAGUAGUUUCGCCUCAAGGUAUCUGGAAGACGAGGAACCACCCCAGCUGACCCAGUUCAGCAGCGGAGGGAUAUGGAUGUACAUGUAUAUCAGAAAAGACAACCGCCGAACUUAUCAGUUGGAGACGAAACGCGGCUCGAAGAGGUCAUGGCUUCGGUAGAAGUCAGAUCAAACCGCCGUGGUCUCCAGGGCUCCAUCGACUGCUUUGCUGAUGGCAGGACUUAACCGGUCAGUGUGAUGUGAGUGAGUGCGCCUGAUGAAAGCGCAGACAUAGGGGUGUAAUCAGUGCAGACUUGUUGGAAUAUAUCAAUCAGCCAAGACUAAUGAUACAUACAGGACACGAGUGACAACGUCGAGGUGUUCCGCCACAACUUGCACAGGGACUCCUACCACGACAGGGAAAAUCAGUCGAGUCCUUCCACUGCAAGUCGGUGAGACGAGAUGCAUCACUGGAGGAGCCGGAAUAGACGUCCGUGUGCCUUAUAAAGUCGGGAAGGAGGGGAGCCACACAUCACCCAGAACAGCACCGUCGACAUGAGGAAGACAACGAUAGGAGAGUGCCAGACCAGUAGCAGAUCUAGAAUAGCCAAUCGAUCGCGCUGCUACAACCAUAGUGAACCUAAAACUAGUUAGAGAAUUCACGGACUGGUUUUGAGGUGAUUUAUACCAUUACUAUGCAUUUAGUGUACCGGGUAUACAUUGCAGUAGUAGUUAAGUGUGCAUGUAAAUCAAAGAACCGCACAUAAGGUUAACCUCAGCGACGACGGACCGAAUCAAACCGGAGAUGGAUGUAGUUAAGGAGAGAACGGCCAUAGAAAUGUUCAGUACAAUUAUUCUGUAUCCAACCUGUGACCGAAGUUAGCGGGGUCAGCAUUAUGUAGUAACGUCAAAACACUUUAACAGUGUCCCGUGCCAAGUGUACGGAAAACCUUG